UUGGAAGAAAUUAAGUUGUACAAUAGAAAACCUUUUCCAGUAAACUUUGAGUAGUGAACUAUUGCAAAAUGUACUGACUUGGUUUCUUAUUGCGGGUAACUACCUUUAAUGUUAAUGUAGAGCAAGAUACGAAGUGUUUGUUAUAUCACAUUGAACCAUAUGCAAGAUAUGAUUACUUUUAAGCGGUGAAUGUGUAUUAACCGUUUAUGACUAAUCGUAUAAAGUUGGCAAGUGAAUAAAGCGGUUUAUUGAGAUCGCUCAGGAGAAAGCACGUGUUUCCAGUAUGUCAAAGAAAGCAUUAAUUGUGGUUAACAAAGUUGUGAACAAUCACAAGAAAAGGAAUGGUGCAACGAAAGAUAUGAAGCAGAUGUGUUGGAUGUUCGGGGAACUUGGGUUCGAUGUGAUUCCGCGUUUGGACCUUAAAGCCCGUGAGAUAGAAGAGGAACUACGAAAAGCAUGUUCCAAACCCUGCGACUGCUUCGUGUUGGUGAUAAGUUCACAUGGUCA